rnacentral:rRNA from 1 species
AACGAACGCUGGCGGCAUGCCUAACACAUGCAAGUCGAACGAGACCUUCGGGUCUAGUGGCGCACGGGUGCGUAACGCGUGGGAACCUGCCCUUAGGUUCGGAAUAACUCCCCGAAAGGGGUGCUAAUACCGGAUAAUGUCUUCGGACCAAAGAUUUAUCGCCUUUGGAUGGGCCCGCGUUGGAUUAGCUAGUUGGUAGGGUAAAAGCCUACCAAGGCGACGAUCCAUAGCUGGUCUGAGAGGAUGAUCAGCCACACUGGGACUGAGACACGGCCCAGACUCCGACGGGAGGCAGCAGUGGGGAAUAUUGGACAAGGGGCGAAAGCCUGAUCCAGCAAUGCCGCGUAAGUGAUGAAGGCCGUAGGAUUGUAAAGCUCUUUUAGCCGGGAUGAUAAUGACAGUACCGGGAGAAUAAGCACCGGCUAACUCCGUG